rnacentral:rRNA from 1 species
UACGUAGGGACCGAGCGUUGUCCGGAUUCAUUGGGCGUAAAGAGCUCGUAGGCGGCCACUCAAGUCGAAUGUGAAACCUCGAGGCUUAACCUCGAGCCUGCAUUCGAUACUGGGCGGCUAGAGUCUGGUAGGGGGAUCUGGAAUUCCUGGUGUAGCGGUGGAAUGCGCAGAUAUCAGGAGGAACACCGGUGGCGAAGGCGGAUCUCUGGGCCAUUACUGACGCUGAGGAGCGAAAGCGUGGGGAGCGAACAGG